UCUUCCGCUCCCACCACAACCUGCGUCGCCGACCGUUGUCCCGCGAGGCAAUCGGCUCUUCAGUCAGCUGACAGUCGCCCCGCCCCGCCCCACCCCGGCGUUCCCAAAGCACAGCGCUGGCCAUUAGCCGACCCCGCCCCUUCCGGCUAAUCCGCGCGUGCGUGCUCCGGGCUCAGGGUAGGGGGGGGGAGGGAGCGAGUCGAGUCUCCCGUAUACGCCUGCGCAGUGGCUCCCUUCUGGAGCUCAGUAGCCCCUUAAAAUGGCUGUCAGGUUGUUUGCGCAUGCCUAAGCCUGAGUGCUGCCUUGCAGGUAGAAGAAUCCUGUUCACCGAGCCUCACGCACCUAGAACAGGGACGUUCAUCUCAACUCAGUCGAGUUGCCACAGCAUCUAGUCACCUAGCUGGAGAUAGCCGUGAUACCACCGCCUGCAGACAAAAUAAUGUCCAAAAUGAACGAACAAGAUGCAGUAAAGUCGACGACUGCCAAGCUCUGCAAGGACAAGGGUCUCAUGAAGACCAGGCUGUCUCCUCAAAAUCCCUAUAUAGAUGAGAAUGAUCUUGAACUCAUGGACUUCCCAUCUGCACCUUCUGAGUGCUGUGAUUAUAGGUUUGUGCCACCAGGCCUGGCUCAGAAAAAUUCUGUGAAAGAAGCAAAUGACUAAAGUUUUCCUAAAGGAGAAAUUGACAACUUGAACAGUCAGUCCCUGCUUAUUAAAGAAGUCUAAAACGUUUCCAAUGAGAAA